AGGAACAUGGCGGUGCAAGAUGGCAGCCUCCAUGGAAGGGGACCUGCUCAGAGGCUUUCUAUCUGCUACCGCUGAUUUCCCUACCCGGCAGUGGGUGGCGAGAUGAUGUCACGGCAAACAAGGCACAGCAUUGUCAUGCAGCAGAGAGGCCGGCCCCUUCUCUGCAGCUUCACUGCUUCAAAAAGAAUAUCCAAGGAGGGGAAGUGUAGCAGAAUGAGCAGUGGGAGCAGCCAUGUGCCGAUACCAUUAGCAUCCACAACAACAUCCCCUUGAGCUGACGUCUUUGCAUGUUUUAAGCCGGAGCUAAUAAAGGAACCAGACUCUAAUGAA